GCGAAGGUGGCGGAAUUGGUAGCCGCGCUAGCUUCAGGUGUUAGUGUCCUUACGGCCGUGGGGGUUCAAGUCCCACCCCUCGCACCA
rnacentral:tRNA from 1 species